GUCGGCCACUCAGCUGCUGUGAGUUCAGAGAAAGGAGGCGAUGCUGGCUUUGAGGGAGACCCUUCCUUCCCCUCUGACCACUUCAUGUGUCACCCUGACGUGUCUCCUCCCGAAGACAGAGACCCUGCCUUUCUGGAUGGUUGUCAUCAGCCACCUUCUCCGCUGUGCUUGGAAUAAGUGCUUUGGUAGAGGCAGAGGACAUCGAGGUAGGUCUGCUGGGGAAUGGUCGUGGUGUCAGAAAACCGCACAGGGGCUUCUGAAGGUGGUCGGGGGUCUGGGUCUUAGAGUCCUGUCUGGCCCCUCUCAUCCCCAGACCCCCCUGUGUCCAUGAGUUUUCAUACAUCCAAGUGAAGUCAGAUCCGAGAAGUCUCCUCAAUGUUUCUGGCUGUCUAAGCGCCUGGAGGAAUUGUACCUCCUGGUCUACUGUGGUCGAGUGGAGCCACGUGACCAGUUGUGACCAAUGGGCUAUGAGCAGGAAGGGCCCUCGCUUUCCCUCUCCCACAAUGGCUGACAGUGUUCUAAACGGCGACCCAUCAACCUGUGUCUUGGAGUGAGGGCCAGAUAAAGCAGACCCUCAGCCAACCCCAUAUGGGCAUAUUGUGUGUGUGUGUGUGUGAAAAAAAAAUAAAUCUUUGUUGCGUUAAGUCACUGAGAAUUUAGAGCACCAUUUAUUACUACACUAGAGCCUACCACUCACCACAGUGGUUCUUAAACCUCUGGGUGUUUUUUUUUUUAAUAUUUUUAAAAAUUUUCCCAUUGUACAGCAAGGGGGUCAAGGUUAUCCUUACAUGUAUACAUUACAAUUACAUUUUUCCCCCUUGGUGUUUUGAGUCCAUUUUCCAACUCGGGAAUUCUUGUUAACGUACGUGAAGGGAUUAGAAAUCUCAUAGGACACGGGCAACUCCCCAUGUCAGUUUUUCAGUGUCUUUAUAGGCACCCACAGCUAUCAUUUUUCACCGCUGCGCCCUUUGCCUCAGUCAGUGCUCACCCAGUCCAGAUAAUCGUGAUUUCCUUAGAGCCCGCUGGCCAUGCGCCACACCCUUUCCCAUGCUUCCGACCUCGGCGCCUGACCUGCUUUAGAACCGUGUUCCAUCUGCCGUGGCGCCGGGAGAGUUUCAUCCUCUGUUGUUACUCACCGGUUACAUGGGAACUCGCCUCUUCCCACGGGCAACCCAGUACCCUUCCAGGCAAGCGAUCCCAGAGAUCACAGGAAAGAAAGGCUGCCAAACCAGGAGCAAGAGCUCGAAUCACACAGGGUCGUGAAGCCACCGAAAAGAGAGAGAUACACAGGGAGCUGAGCAGAUGCAGACACUUAGCACAGGGUACCAGGGGGCGGAAGGACCACGCUGCCUGAAUCCUGGGAUGGCCGAUGCUCUGUCUCGCUGCUGCCUCUGCCUUCCCCGCGGAUGCUGUGGGAACGGCUGUGGGUACGAGACCGCAGUUGAAGUUUGAGGUGCACAGAAGUCUGGAAGGUGCCUGGGGCCAAUGACGAGCUCACGCUCAGUCAGAGAGAUGCAGAGACAGCACGCCCAACCACAGCCGCCCCCGCCCGUCUCCAAUUAGCCUGAGGAACAGCCACGGUUAUUUGCAUUUCUUGGACACAUGGGGCCAGAACAGUGUAACCAAUGGGUGGCUGAAUAUUGAGUGCCUCGUAUGCCUCAUGUAUAUUUAGUUGAUUAUGAAUAUGUAGUGCCUCAGGUGCCUUGAAUAUAUUUAGUGCCUCAUGAAUAUUUCGUGUCUCUUGUAUAUUUAGGACCUCAUGAAUAGUAGGCAUCGCCUGCUCCUUCCAUCUCUUUUUAUCUUUGUUCACCCAUCUGUGCUGCCUUAUCUAACAUCUCCCCGACCCCGGUACUGGCUUGCUUAUCAGUGACAAAGUUCAUCCAGCCCACUUGUUUACCUGUUUUCUGUGGCAGACCUGAAUCUUCUCAAACAGCAAAAACAUUACAUCCGUUGUAGCAAACACCAAAUUGUCUGUCUUGGCCAGAAUUUUCUUCUGUGACGUCCAUGGGGUGCCUCAGCCUACUGCUCAGGCACUUUUGAGGCACAUAAUUGGCACAACCAGCCAGCGAGGUCAGUUUUCUUAUGCUUGCUUUCCACAUGGGGACGUUGAAACACAGAGAGGUUUCGAAACUUGCCAGAGGCCACACAGCUGGUAAGAAGCACAAAAGAAUUUGAACUCAGGAGUUGCCUGGUGGUGCAGCAGGUUGAGGAUGCUGGGGCACAGGUUCGAUCUCUGGCUCCAGAACUUCCAAAUGCCAUGGAUGCGGCAAAAAAAAAAAAAAAAAAAAAAAAAAAAAA
rnacentral:lncRNA from 1 species